ACCCCGACACCCCUCGUCCCUCCCCCAACCGCCCCGCACGGACAGACAGGAGGAGGUUCGUCGUCACCGCUGUUGCCUCCAGCUGCUACUGCCGCCGCCAGUGCCACGUGCCUUGAAAGACAGUGACUGGCGAAGCCCGAACCAACGCACUGAACAGAAGGAUCCUGCAUUGUCCAGAAAGCACACAGACGGAGCGUGAUGGGUCUUUUUCCAUAGCGGUGAAAGAGGUUGACACCUGCACACAUAGGAGCGACUUAAAAUAGAACUUGGCAAACAGGGAUCCUCUCCGGAUCAGGCUCGGCUCCACAAACAGCUCUUGAACUCACUUCCCAGUCCAACAAAAACAGGAGGGAGGGGGGAAAGCUGCCCUGUGAGACACAGUGGGGCAUUUUGGUAGGAGCGGCAAAAUUUAAAAACCAAGUGUGAUGCCAGCUGAUAAGGAUGUGUCCUUUUUGAUAGCCCUGCACAGCCCAGUGGACUUCUGAAAAUACAGAUUAUUCUCACCAGCAACCUUGUUCUUUGGGAAAAUUAGGUUUCUGUGUCCACAUAGAGACAGAAGCAAGCCAGGGGGGCGGGGAGAAAAGAAUGCUUUUAGUUUUAAAGAACUAAAAGGUACUCCAUGAUCUUGCUACUAGUAUUGAAUAAAAACUACAUAACACAUAAGACUGCUGGUUUCCUCCUCCAAAUAAAAGACGUGAUUUCUUUUCUAA